rnacentral:piRNA from 1 species
GGCCUGAUUUUAAACACCCCCUUAUGAGGUA